rnacentral:rRNA from 1 species
GACGAACCGUACGAACGUUAUUCGGAAUCACUGGGCUUAAAGGGUGCGUAGGCGGCGGCGCAAGUUGGGUGUGAAAUCCCUCGGCUCAACCGAGGAACUGCGCUCAAAACUGCGUCGCUUGGGGGAGAUAGAGGUGAGUGGAACUUAGGGUGGAGCGGUGAAAUGCGUUGAUAUCCUAAGGAACACCAGUGGCGAAAGCGACUCACUGGGUCUCUUCUGACGCUGAGGCACGAAAGCUAGGGUAGCGAACGGG